CUACGGGUUGCUCCAGUGGGGAAUAUUGCACAAUGGAGGAAACUCUGAUGCAGCAACGCCGCGUGGAGGAUGACACUUUUCGGAGCGUAAACUCCUUUUAUAUAGGAAGAAGAUGACGGUACUAUAUGAAUAAGCGCCGGCUAACUCCGUGCCAGCAGCCGCGGUAAUACGGAGGGCGCAAGCGUACUCGGAAUCACUGGGCGUAAAGAGCGUGUAGGCGGAUUAAAAAGUCAGAAGUGAAAUCCUAUAGCUUAACUAUAGAACUGCUUCUGAAACUCUUAAUCUAGAAUAUGGGAGAGGUAGCUGGAAUUUCUGGUGUAGGGGUAAAAUCCGUAGAGAUCAGAAGGAAUACCGAUUGCGAAGGCGAUCUACUAGAACAUUAUUGACGCUGAGACGCGAAAGCGUGGGGAGCAAACAGGAUUAGAUACCCUAGUAGUC
rnacentral:rRNA from 1 species